rnacentral:rRNA from 1 species
UACGUAGGGGCCGAGCGUUGUCCGGAGUUAUUGGGCGUAAAGCGCGCGCAGGCGGCUUCGCGCGUCCGACGUGAAAGCCCCCGGCUUAACCGGGGAGGGUCGUUGGGUACGGCGGAGCUUGAGGGCGGGAGAGGGUGGUGGAAUUCCCGGUGUAGUGGUGAAAUGCGUAGAGAUCGGGAGGAACACCUGUGGCGAAGGCGGCCACCUGGGCCGACCCUGACGCUGAGGCGCGAAGGCGUGGGGAGCGAGCGGG